UUGGCCAAGAUACUGAUUCAAGAUAAUGUUUUGCCAUUUCCUUCUCUAGAGUGUACGUACCGCUCGUUAGCUAGCUGGCAAUUCGUAAAGCACGUUAAGGUUUACUGAGCCCUUCACAAAUAUUCUCAUUUGAUCCUGGGAGGCGGAUGCCAUUUCCAUCUCUCUUUUACAGGAGGGGAAACCGAGGCAGGGAGCAGUGACGUGAGUUGCCCAGAUCUGAGGCUGGGCUUGCUCUAACACCAUAACAACCUGCCUCUAACUGGGAAGUUUUGGGGGCUCCCGAUUCUACCUGGGCAGGGGGCAAACGUAACAAAGGGAUGCCCUUGUGGAGGAUCUGUGUCUUGCAGUCCACAUGUGGCCUGGCAGGACUUAGAAAUGGAGAGAUCUCAGAGCCCCAAACCCCUCAUUUCACAGGUUACAAAAUAUAAUUACAGAUCGCUCUUUGCCAGGCUCCCAAGGUGAGGAGGAGCUGGGCCAGAAUCCGGCUCCCUCAGGCAGAGGCAGAGCAGAACUUCCCGGCUGCCGCCUGCUCCUUUUCCCUGGGUGCACAUCCCACCCCGGAGGCCGGUACCAAAGGGCCGCCCGGCUGGUCCUGUUAAUUUUGCAAGGAAAGGGGCUUCUUCUGAAGCUCUCCCUCGAGGGCCUGGAAUUCCCAGCUCCGAGGCUGCGAGCAGGUAACGGCAGAAUCCUGGGGGGAUAAGGAUUCCCGGGAGUGAGUUCAGCGGCGGUCACUCUGUGAUGCAGAGGCUCAUGAGCGAGCCACCAGGCAUGUGUGAGUGUGAGUGAGUGUGUGUGAGAGUGAGCGAGGCAGGAGAGCGGGCCUGGGGCUGAAGGCCCAGCAAGGGGGACGCCCCGUCCGGGCUUUGCUUCAUGGACCAGCCGGCCCCAGCUUUCCCCUCUCACGGGGCAGCUUGUGAAUAGCAGCCCAGUGACUCACGCGUUUCACCCUCGGUCUCAGACUUGUAAACGCGGCUGUAAAACCAGGUAUGGCUGGGAAAGGCUGCUGGGCCUGCCCAGAACCCCCCGCCACCCCGGCUCUGGAAACUCUCCCCCCAGCCGAGGCCCGGCCCCGUCGCCUGCAAGCUGCUACUUGGGAGGGCGAAGUCUGCGCGUUGGGGGGCAGGGGCCGAAGGGCCCGCGUGAAGGAGACUGGGCCACACUUUACAACCCAGAGGCAGCCUUGCGCCCGCGGCCUGGGAACAAGGAUGCCGGGCAGGAGGCCCCCGGACGGGUGUGAAAGCCAUCCCUUUGUGCUGCCCCCGGCUCCGGGAGGCAGGAGCAGGGGCGGCCCGGCCCUUCUGGUUCUGGAGUCGGGCCGGGGCAGACAAAUGUUUUCUAUGCAACGACAGGGAGAUGGGGAGAGAAAGAAGGGGGACAAACGGGCUUUGCCAAGUUGGUUUUUCUGACACGUGUGAAACCAUCGUUUAGAAUAACUUCAGUUCACACGUCCUGCUUCCCCACGCCCGGGAUGCGGCUCAGUAUUUGUUUCCUGGAAACCCAGAGAGAAAAGGAGAGAGAAGAGAGAGGCAGGAGGCAGUAGUUAAAGAUAGGAUGCUGCUAUUUGCCCAGGGGAGAAGACGGCCGAUAGCCUGUGGAGCAGGGAGGUUGGAUGAAGAGGCUGUGGAAUUCUGCAAUAGCCAGAGGAAUGGAGGCAGGGGAUUGCCCGGUGGGCGAUGGGGAGAGGCAUUAUGGGCACGAGAGCGUUGGGCCCAUUUCAGAUCAGAAAAUUGUGUCUAAAAGAGUGACUUUCCUAUGUUCACAAGCCUAAUAGGAGUCAGAGGUCAGAAUAACAUCCAGAGCUCCCUGAUUCCAGCUCUAGCGCUCUCCACCAGACCUAUAUAAGGAGACCCCUGAGGAAGCUCUUCAAGAGACUCCUGGGUCACUUUUCUGCCAUGACAAAGCAUUACGGUGAUGAGAAAGAACCAUUCAAUGAACACGGUCUCAUCAAACUUCAUUAAGCUGCCAGGAUGAUUCCUUCUGAAGUUUGAGCAAGAGUGAGGGGAAGGUUUGGCUUGUAACAUUUGGGGCCCCCCUCGGGUUUCCCAGGUGUUCCUGCUCGAGUGGUAAGGGAAGCGUGGGUGCUCAUUUUGGGGAGAAGUUGAGCAGAAAUAUUUGAAAUCCAUUCUGGCCUGGGCCGGCCCACCUUGUCGCGAGAUCUGGUGGGGAGCUCACCCUGCCCGCUCCCCCAGGCAAUGGCACCUUAUUAAAUGCCCACCUGGUAAAGUUGUCGUGGGGCCCGUUGGGGAAGCCCCCCAUUAGCCCUUCACCCAGGGCCUGCAUGCGCUCUGGCCCCUGCCUUCCCAGGCCCGCUGCCAUGGGGCUCCCCGGCCCUGGCCAGACGUGGGUAUUGGUGCACGGCGUGUGAGGCUCCUGGAAAGCAAGCCCGGGGCUCAAGAUUCAUGGGUAAGUCAGCCAACCUCAGCGCUCCAGCGGCCUGAGACGGAAGGAGGGAGGAGUUGGAUCUGGGACAGCGGAGGAAUUUCCUGCUAUUAAAAGUCUUCAGGUUUGUUGGUAUCCACUUGGAGUGGACAUUAUUAAAAUGGUGAAAAGCCUCCAGUCCUUGUGCUGUGAGAAUCUGAACGGUGAAAUGAGAAGGGGGGGACGGGCCAGAAAAUGAUAAUCCAGGUAUUUGAAGGACCGAUAAUUGAAAAAGGAAUGAAUGUUUAUUCUGCUCUUGGUAGGAAUGGGGGUCAGGAGACCGAAGAGCUGUAGGUAGGAACGACAAAGAAGCACCUUUGGACUUGAUGUUAGGAAAAACUCCUUAAUAUUUGGAGCAGGACAGAAGUGGAUGGGGAAGCGUGAGAACCUCUCACUGUCAAGCAAAGGUAGUCAUCCAAUCUCUGCUUAAAAAGGCCCGGCUCCCCCCUGCAUCCAGCCCAUCUCCAGCCGUCCUGAUCUAUAUCUGACCGAUGACUUUGGAGAAGAAAGGGAGACAGGUGACCUUGCCCAGCCCUUUCCCCCUUAAACCCAACUCAUGUCACAGCAUCCCCUGCCUGGUGUGGAUGUCACGGUCCUUUUCAAGAACAAAGGACAAACAAAAACAGUAAGUCUUCCUCAGAAGGGGGGGAGCCCAUUGUCGUCAUACCAUUCUGUGAGAUGGAUUUUUUAUUUUCCUGAGGUAAAAUCCAGCUCCUACAGAAGAGUGGGAUCUGGCCGCUUCUGGAUGGCAAUGCUCGGAAAUAACCUCUUCUACACUAACGUACCCCUGCUUUUCUUUCACUGUACUUUCUCACUCUCUUUGCUAUUCAAGUUGUAGGUCACAUUUUUGCUACUAAAUUAUAAGGUCGGUGAUGUUAGGAAUUAUUUCUUAUACUUUGUAUUCUCCCCAUUCUCACUUUCCCCACCUCUGGCAGGGGCUUCGCACAUAGUAGGAGCUCCAUAAAUGUGUCACAAAAAUAAAUAUUCAGAGAUCGUUCCCAUGUCAUUGUCCUUGAAUGUCAUGACAAGGAAAGGCAAGAAGAAGUAGGAAAUAAACAGAAAAAGACUGGGACUUAUUUUCUAAAACUGGCCACUUUUUCUCAAGUUUCAAAACUGAUCAUCUAGAAUGAGAGAAAAUGAGAGAGACAGGUAAGAGACUGGGGCUCAUUUUCUAGCACUGGGCACUUUUCCUCGUUUUAAAGUUGGUCAUCUUGAGUGAUGGCAGUGGGAGAAUCAUUUAAAUGACUUUUUUUCCCCUAAGACUGGGGCUUAUUUUCUAGCAGUGGGCAUUUUUCCUCAAGUUUCAAAGCUGGUCAUCUUGAAUGAGGGACCAUGGGAGAACCAGGUAAGAGACAUUUUCCCCCAAGACUGGGCUUUUCCUGCACAGGCCACUUUUUCUCAAUUUUCAAAGCUGGCCAUCUAGAAUGAAGGACAGUGAGAGAGUCAGGUAAGAGACUUUUUUGUUUUAUUAAGACUGGGGCUCAUUUUCUAGCACUGGGCACUUUUUCUCAAGUUUCAAAACUGAUCAUCUAGAAUGAGAGAAAAUGAGGGAGACAGGUAAGAGACUUCUUAAAAAAUUAAGACUGGGGCUCAUUUUCUAGUAGUGGGCACUUUUCUUCACAUUUCAGAGCUGGUCAUCUUGAAUGAGGGCUAGUGGGAGAAUCAGGUAAAAGACUUCCCCCGCCAAGCCUUGGGUUUUUCUAGCAUUGGCCCCUUUUCCUCUAAUUUCAAAGCUGGUAAUCUAGAAUGAGGGACAGUGGGAGAACCAGGUUAAGAGCCCUUUCCCCCUAAAACUGGGGCUUGUUUUAGACUGGCCACUUUUCCUCAAGUUUCAAAGUUGCUAAUCUUGAAUGAGGGACAGUGGGAAAACCAGGUAAGAGACUUUUUAAUUAAGAUUUGGACUUGUUUUCUGGAACUGGACACUUUUUCAAGCUUCAAAGCUGGUCAUCUUGAAUAAGGAACAGUGGGAGGAUCAGGUAAGACCUUUUUUUUCCCCAAUAACUGGGGCUUUUCUUAGACUGGCCAAUUUUUCUACCUUCAAAAGAUGGUUAUCUUGAAUGAGGGACAGUGGGAGAGCCAGAUAAAAGACUUUCCCCCCUAAGACUGGGGCUUUUCUCGUAUUGGCCACUUUUUCUCAAGUUUCAAAGUUGGUAAUCUUGAAUGAGGAAUAGUAAGACAAACAGGUAAGACACUUUCCCCUCCAAAGACUGGGUUCUAUUUUCUAGCACUGGCCACUUUCCCUCAAGUUUUAAAGCUGGUCAUCUUGAAUGAGGGACAGUGGAAAAACCAGCUAAGAGACUUUUUUUUAUUAAGACUUGGGCUUAUUUUCUAGCACUGGCUACUUUCCCUCAAAUUUCAAAUUUGGAUGUUGAAUGAGGGACAGUGGGAAAACCAGAACUGGCCACUUUUUCAAGCUGCAAAGCUGGUCAUCUUGAAUGAGGGACAGUGGGAAAACCAGAGGGCCACAUCCAUCAGAACUGGUCAUCAUAUAGUACUGU